rnacentral:tRNA from 1 species
UGUCGUUCUUGUAGUUGAAGCACAACGGUGGUUCUUCAUGCCACUGGUCGUGGAUAUAGCCGCGUAAGAAUG